UUGAACGCUGGCGGCAGGCCUAACACAUGCAAGUCGAGCGGCAGCGCGGGGCAACCUGGCGGCGAGCGGCGGACGGGUGAGUAACGCGUAGGAAUCUACCCAGUAGCGGGGGAUAGCCCGGGGAAACUCGGAUUAAUACCGCAUACGCCCCAAGGGGGAAAGCAGGGGAUCUUCGGACCUUGCACUAAUGGCAGAGCCUGCGUUGGAUUAGCUAGUUGGUAGGGAAAAGGCCUACCAAGGCGACGAUCCAUAACUGGUCUGAGAGGAUGAUCAGGCACACCGGAACUGAGACGAGGUCCGGACUUUUACGGGAGGCAGCAGUGGGAAAUAUUGGACAAUGGGGGCAACCCUGAUCCAGCCAUGCCGCGUGUGUGAAGAAGGCCUUCGGGUUGUAAAGCACUUUAAGUGGGGAGAAAGGUUCGCUGCCUAACACGCAGCGGAAUUGAUGCUACCCACAGAAUAAGCACCGGCUAACUCUGUGCCAGCAGCCGCCGUAACAC
rnacentral:rRNA from 1 species